rnacentral:rRNA from 1 species
UACGUAGGGCGCAAGCGUUGUCCGGAAUUAUUGGGCGUAAAGAGCUCGUAGGCGGUUUGUUGCGUCCGCUGUGAAAACUCGGGGCUUAACCUCGGGCCUGCAGUGGGUACGGGCAGACUAGAGUGCGGUAGGGGAGACUGGAAUUCCUGGUGUAGCGGUGAAAUGCGCAGAUAUCAGGAGGAACACCGGUGGCGAAGGCGGGUCUCUGGGCCGUAACUGACGCUGAGGAGCGAAAGCGUGGGGAGCGAACAGG